rnacentral:misc_RNA from 1 species
GAUGAAGAACGUAGCGAAAUGGGAUAAGUAGUGUGAAUUGCAGAAUUCAGUGAAUCAUCGAAUCUUUGAACGCACAUUGCGCCCUUUGGUAUCCCUUAGGGCAUGCCUGUUCGAGCGUCAUUUAAACCUUCAAGCUAAGCUUGGUGUUGGGUGACUGUCCGCUUCACGGCGGACUCGCCUCAAAAUUAUUGGCGGCCGGUACAUUGGCUUCGAGCGCAGCAGAAACGCGAACUCGGGCCCGUCGUAUUGGCUCCCAGAAGCUAUCUUCACAAUUUUGACCUCGGAUCAGGAAGGGAUACCCGCUGAACUUAAGCAUAUCAAUAAGCGGAGGA